rnacentral:sRNA from 1 species
CCUGGGCAUGGUGGUGCACACCUGUAACCUCAGCUGCUUGGGAGGCUGAGGCAGGAGGAUCACAAGUUGAAGCUAGCCUCAUCAAUUUAGCAAGAUCUUGCCUCUA